CCGCGGCGCCACGUUCCGGGCCCCGGCUCUGAGGAAACCGCACUGCCCCCGGCCCCGCCCCCGGGGCUGGGCUCCGCUCGGACCCCGGCCGCCCCCCGCCCGACGGCGCCGAGGCCGGACGUCCUGCCCCGCGCCCGGCCAGAGCCCGUGUCCCGCUCGUCCCGCCGAAGCCGAAGCUUAACAAAUGAUGUAAGGAAGAUGGAUACCACGCUUCUUAUUCAGUCCAUCCAAAGAAUUACAGAUGCUGGAUAAAGUCUCCCUCCUGUAACUGAAACAGCAGCAUGACUAAUGAGUGUUUCUCUCCAGUGAUCUAAUGGCAAGUGAUCCUUCUCAUGCCAUGCACAUUGCUACACUGUUCCCUACCAUAACAAGUUCACUGGAUUAUACAGUUCAUCCUCUACCAGAAGUGAAGUAUAUGAUUUGGAAGGAUAAAACUUCCUUGUGGUGUACUCAUGACAAGGUGGAAUACCUGUGGUGUACUCAUGACUGCGUUGUCAAAGGCAGACGAAGGAGAAGUCAAAUUAGAAGCAGAAACUAAGCAAAGAGGUGUUUAUGAUGGGAAAGGCACUGAACAGCAUCAAGCAAGGCUACAAGACUAGGAACAGCAGCAACAACAGUAGAAAAAGAACAUGGAACUGAGAAAAUUGAGAAAGCAUACAUACCAUGGGAGGGGGUAAGAGCUAACAAAGACUCUGUGAGGGCCAGUGGCCAAGAAGACAAGCACAAUGAAAAACAGCAGGGGACCUAGCUGACUUUGCAAGAAUUUAAAAUAAGGAAAACAGGAAAAAAUGAGAAUCUCCAUGCUGUAGAGAGAGCAUUUGUUGGGACAGCAGUGAAGCAGGUUUGCUCUGUACACCGCAAGAAAGUCCUUGGCACACAACUAGGUACUGCAUGGUCAUCUUGCUUGCAGCAGCAAUCUCUUCAAAAUGUUCACUCUGGUUUCAAAUUGUUCAACAGGAAAGUUGUGACUACUGGCAUCUGGGCUAAUGUCAUUCUACAGAUUGGGAUCUGAUGGCUCAUUUUCCCAUAUGUCAUUCACAAUGCCGGUAAAAGAAAUGAACAAGUCACAGACACACAGUAUGCUCCUCCCUUCUCAUCUCCCUGCAAAUAGGUAUCAGGAUCCCUGCAGUCUUACAGCAGCCAGCAGAAACAGUCGGGCCAGCUGGCAGGCAGCAGCACCUGCCCAUGAGAAGCACAAUGUGGCAGCUGCUCUUCUGCUGGCUGCUGUCAGGGGCAGCCUACAAACCAGUGGAUGGAAGCUCUGCCUUAAGGUAACUGCUGUUAUUCCCUAGAAGCUGCAGAAUUGAAGCUCUCAUUUCUCAUCACCUUUUCUGGCAUUCUCCACAGAUGCAGGAUUGGGUACACAGAGAUCUCUGGUGACCAGGGCAGUCACAGUUUCCCUGCUUCUUUGCAAAAGCAAAACCUCAUGAAACUCAAGUUAUUGAACGGCCUUUG